rnacentral:lncRNA from 1 species
AGGGUUUAGGGUAGGUAGGGUUUAGGGUUAGGUAGGGUUUAGGGUUAGGUAGGGUUUAGAAUUAGGUAGGGUUUAGGGUUAGGUAGGGUUUAGGGUUAGAAAGGGUUUAGGGUUAGUAGGGUUUAAGGUUAGUAGGGUUUAGGGCUAGAAAGGUUUUAGGUUAGGUAGGGUUAAUAGGGUUUAGAGUUAUGUAGGAUUAGGGUUAGGUAGGGUUUAGGGUUAGUAGGGUUUAGGGUAGGUAGGGUUUAGGGUUAGGUAGGGUGGUCUCUAGUCAAAAAACAAAACUUGUUUCCAAUUUAUGUAAAGAAUAUUAUUUUUUUGAAUGAGCAAAGAUUUAAGGAUGGUUAUUGUUUUAAGAACAUUAACUUGUUAUUUCUGAACAAUUAAAUAUUAAAAUAUUUUAGUGUUAUAAUUUAAAUUUGGGUCUCUAGUCAAAAAAACAAAACUUGUUUCCAAUUUAUGUAAAGAAUAUUUUUUUUUUUUGUGAAUGAGCAAAUAUUUAAGGAUGGCUAUUAGCAAAUAAAUGUUUGAGAACUUUAAUUUUUUUUUCUUGAGAUUCUACUGCUAUAAUAGUUUAAGGGUUUUUGAAAUAUUACUAAUUAAUUGUUAUUGAUUCGAAGAUUUUUAAAUUUCAUCAAAAUUCUUUAUUUAUUUAUGAUAAUAGUUUUUCAUUCUAUUUUAACAAAAAUUAACUUUAUUAAAAUAUAAUUUCCUUUUUUUAUUCAUAAGAUACAACUUUUAAAAUAUUUUGACAGUUAAAAUAAUGGAUGUAAGAUUUAAAAUCCGCUAUGUAAUUGGUAUUUGAAUAUCACAACAACAACUUACAUAGCGGUAGAGUUUAGGUCUUUUUAGCUUUAAGUUUUGAGACUAUUUUUUAGUGUUUAGGGUUGGUAGAGUAUUAGCGUUAGAUGGGAUUUAUGGUUAGGUUUAUGUAGGGUUUUAGGGUUAGAUUUAGGCAGGGUUUAGGGUUAGCAGGGUUUAUGGUUUGGUAGAGUUUAGGGUUAGAAAGGGUUUAGGGUUAGUAGGGUUUAGGGUAGGUAGGGUUUAGGGUUAGGUAAGGUUUAGGAUUUUAGGGUUAGGAAGGGUUUAGGGUUAGGAAGGGUUUAGGGUUAGGAAGGGUUUUGGGUUAGGUAGCAUUUAGGGUUAAAAAGGGUUUAGGGUGGGUAGGGUUUAGGGUUAGUAGGGUUUUGGGUUAGGUAGGGUUUAGGGUUAGGUAGGGUUUAGGGUUGGUAGGGUUUAGGGUUAGGUAGGGUUUAGGGUUCGGUAAGGUUUAGGGUUAGGUAGGGUUUAGGGUUAGGUAGGUUUUAGGGUUAUGUAGGGUUUAGGGUUAGGUAGGGUUUAAAAUUGGGUAGGGUUUAGGGUUAGUAGGGUUUAGGGUUAUGUAGGGUUUAGGGUUAGUAGGGUUUAGGGUUAGUAGGAUUUAGGGUUAAGUAAGGUUUAGGGCUAGAAAGGGUUUAUGGUUAGAAUGGUUUUAGGGUUAGGUAGGGUUUAGGUUAGGUAGGGUUUAGGGUUAGUAGGGUUUAGGGUUAUGUAGGGUUAGGUAGGGUUUAGAAUUAGGUAGGGUUUAGGGUUAGCAUGGUUUAAGGUUAGAAGGGUUUAGGGUUAGUAGGGUUUAGGGUUAGUAGGAUUUAGGGCUAGAAAGGGUUUAGGGUUAGGUAGGGUUUAGGGUUAGGUAGGGUUUAGGGUUAUAAAGGGUUUAGGGUAGGUAGGGUUUAGGGUUAGGUAGGGUUUAGGGUUAGGUAGGGUUUAGAAUUAGGUAGGGUUUAGGGUUAGGUAGGGUUUAGGGUUAGAAAGGGUUUAGGGUUAGUAGGGUUUAAGGUUAGUAGGGUUUAGGGCUAGAAAGGUUUUAGGUUAGGUAGGGUUAAUAGGGUUUAGAGUUAUGUAGGAUUAGGGUUAGGUAGGGUUUAGGGUUAGUAGGGUUUAGGGUAGGUAGGGUUUAGGGUUAGGUAGGGUUUAGGAUUUUAGGGUUAGGAAGGGUUUUAGGGUUAGAAAGGGUUUAGGGUUAGUAGGGUUUAGGGUUAAAUAGGGUUUAGGGUUAGGUAGGGUUUAGGGUUAGUAGGGUUUAGGGUAGGUAGGGUUUAGGGUUAGGUAAGGUUUAGGAUUUUAGGGUUAGGAAGGGUUUUAGGGUUAGAAAGGGUUUAGGGUUAGUAGGGUUUAGGGUUAAAUAGGGUUUAGGGUUAGGUAGGGUUUACGUUUAGGGUUAGGUUGGUUUACAAUUUGAUAGGUUUUGGGUUUAGGUAGGAUGAAGGGUUUAGGGAUUAGGGUUUGGUUUAUGUAGGGUUUAGGGUUAGAUAGGGUUAGAUAGGGUUAAGGUAGGAUUUGUCAGGUAGGAUUUAGGGUUUAGGUAGUAGGAAAGGUUAGCGUUUGGUUUAGGUUGGGUUUAAGGUUUGGUUUAGAAUAAUGCUUAGGAUUAUAGGGUUUAGGGUUUGUUUGUUUUUUUGUUUAUGCAUUUAGUGCUGAGUUUUUCGGAUAAAAUUUUAUAUUAAUAUUAUUGAUUCAUAAUUUUUCUUAAAAUGUUAAAAAUUUUAAAGUGAUUUUUAAUGUUCUUAAAACAAAGUAUGUAUUUUUUAUUAAGUUUUUU